GGAGAUGGCAGGCAGCUCAGUCAGGUGAAGCCACUGAGAGAUGAGACCCGACAACCCUGUGGGAAACUGAUGGCAGGAGAGCCUAGGGAAAAGCGGGGCAGUUAUUCAAAGAACAGGUUGCUUAGCACCUUUAAGGAAUUUUGGGGGUGGGGGCAGCAGGAACCCACCAUCACAAAAAUCACUGACAUGCCACAUCAUGGAUGAACCUCAAAAACAUUGUAAGUGAAAGAAGCCAGACACAAAUGACUGGGUAUAGUCUGAUUAUAUUUACGUGAAAUCUCCUGAAAAGGCAAUUCUAUAAAGAUAGAAUGUAGAUUAGUGGGUACCUGGAGUUGGGGGUGAAGAUGGUAAUUAACUACUUGGGCAUAAAGGAUCUAACUGGGAUGAUGAAAAUGUUCUAAAAUUGGGUUUCAGUAACGGUUGCACAACCUGGUAAAUUUAUUAAAAAGUCAUUGAAUUGUACACUUGAAAUGUAUGAAUUUUAUGGUUUGUAAAUCAUAAUGUUAUCCAAAUAAUCUCUGGCAGUGAAAUAAAGAGAAAAAGGAGC
rnacentral:lncRNA from 1 species